rnacentral:rRNA from 1 species
UGUGAGCUCGAUGAGUAGGGCGGGACACGUGGUAUCCUGUCUGAAUAUGGGGGGACCAUCCUCCAAGGCUAAAUACUCCUGACUGACCGAUAGUGAACCAGUACCGUGAGGGAAAGGCGAAAAGAACCCCGGCGAGGGGAGUGAAAAAGAACCUGAAACCGUGUACGUACAAGCAGUGGGAGCACCCUUUGGGGUGUGACUGCGUACCUUUUGUAUAAUGGGUCAGCGACUUAUAUUCUGUAGCAAGGUUAACCGAAUAGGGGAGCCGGAGGGAAACCGAGUCUUAAUUGGGCGUUAAGUUGCAGGGUAUAGACCCGAAACCCGGUGAUCUAGCCAUGGGCAGGUUGAAGGUUGGGUAACACUAACUGGAGGACCGAACCGACUAAUGUUGAAAAAUUAGCGGAUGACCUGUGGCUGGGGGUGAAAGGCCAAUCAAACCGGGAGAUAGCUGGUUCUCCCCGAAAGCUAUUUAGGUAGCGCCUCGUGAAUUCAUCUCCGGGGGUAGAGCACUGUUUCGGCUAGGGGGCCAUCCCGGCUUACCAACCCGAUGCAAACUGCGAAUACCGGAGAAUGUUAUCACGGGAGACACACGGCGGGUGCUAACGUCCGUCGUGAAGAGGGAAACAACCCAGACCGCCAGCUAAGGUCCCAAAGUCAUGGUUAAGUGGGAAACGAUGUGGGAAGGCCCAGACAGCCAGGAUGUUGGCUUAGAAGCAGCCAUCAUUUAAAGAAAGCGUAAUAGCUCACUGGUCGAGUCGGCCUGCGCGGAAGAUGUAACGGGGCUAAACCAUG